ACCACUAUAAGACUGGGAUAACUUCGGGAAACCGGAGCUAAUACCGGAUAAUAUUAUGAACCGCAUGGUUCAAAAGUGAAAGACGGUCUUGCUGUCACUUAUAGAUGGAUCCGCGCUGCAUUAGCUAGUUGGUAAGGUAACGGCUUACCAAGGCAACGAUGCAUAGCCGACCUGAGAGGGUGAUGGCCACACUGGAACUGAGACACGGUCCAG
rnacentral:rRNA from 1 species